GGGACCCGCACAAGCAGUGGAGCAUGUGGUUUAAUUCGAAGAUACGCGCAGAACCUUACCAACACUUGACAUGUUCGUCGCGAGACUAAGAGAUUAGUCUUUUCAGUUUGGCUGGACGAAACACAGGUGCUGCAUGGCUGUCGUCAGCUCGUGUCGUGAGAUGUUGGGUUAAGUCCCGCAACGAGCGCAACCCCCUACUUUUAGUUGCCACCAUUUAGUUGGGCACUUUAAAAGAACUGCCAGUGAUAAGCUGGAGGAAGGUGGGGAUGACGUCAAGUCCUCAUGGCCCUUAUGUGUUGGGCUACACACGUGCUACAAUGGUAUUUACAAUGGGAUGGCAAAGAGGCGACUCUUAGCUAAUCCCUAAAAUAUACCUCAGUUCGGAUUGUACUCUGUAACUCGAGUGCAUGAAGCUGGAAUUGCUAGUAA
rnacentral:rRNA from 1 species